rnacentral:lncRNA from 1 species
GACUUUGGACUCACGUAGGCAUAGGAGAACGAAACUUCUGUACAUUUUAAUCUGAAUAAUUCUUCAGGAUUUAAAAUUAAUUGGCUCUGGCUUGGUUGGACCGUACUCGGAUCUCGCCACCUCUGCGUUUCCCGAGUCACUGGCGAAGAGGUCCCAGUUCCUCUGGGAAUCGUCCUGUAUGCAACAUCUUCACAAGAGUGGCAGGCAGUUGAAUCUCUGGCCUUCGUGGGACCACUGGACAUCUGGCAGAGAACCAGGAAACCACGGUUCCCUUCUGUGAGUCCCUCAGCCGGAAAACUACAAGCUCCUCAUGCAGCUGCUGUCUACAGACCCCCUGGACUGCCUGGGGAAGUGAGUCGGAGCUCCUGCAGCAGAGGGGUGGAACAGCUACACGAAGAUCCGAAGGUGGCCAAAAAUAACAGCGCUUUCCAGAUGAGGGAGCCAGUUGUCCAGCACAGUGUCAUGGGACAGUGGGCCCUGGUGCCACAAUGCCCGGCAUCUCCACCAGAUACAGCUUUGAGAUCUUCAUGAUGAAGCUUGCUCCAAUCCAAGGGCUGUCAGGUGGGGUUUGCGGUUCAGCUGCUAACCUUUCUUUGGUCCUAGUGGUCCAAGCAUGCUGGCCUGUUUAUUAUUUCUUUAACUUCCAAGCUGUUUCCUACUCCUGGACCUUUCCACAUGUUUUUGGAAAUGUUUUCAUUUUUCCUGAUACUUUUAUCUAUAACCUCAUUCUUCAGGCUUCUAUUGCAAGACCUUCUAUGCUGAAGCACUUGUUUAUAUGAAGGCUUCACUGUAAGUUCCACUUUAUUCUUACUUUUACUUUGUGUAUUUAUUAUUGUAUGCAAUUUUCUAUUCAUUGGUGCGAUUAUAUAAUAUUUAUCUCUCCCAUUAAACUGUAAGUUCCAUGAGG